rnacentral:rRNA from 1 species
GAUGAACGCUGGCGGCGUGCCUAAUACAUGCAAGUCAAGCGAACGGACGAGAAGCUUGCUUCUCUGAUGUUAGCGGCGGACGGGUGAGUAACACGUGGAUAACCUACCUAUAAGACUGGGAUAACUUCGGGAAACCGUAGCUAAUACCGGAUAAUAUUUUGAACCGCAUGGUUCAAAAGUGAAAGACGGUCUUGCUGUCACUUAUAGAUGGAUCCGCGCUGCAUUAGCUAGUUGGUAAGGUAACGGCUUACCAAGGCAACGAUGCAUAGCCGACCUGAGAGGGUGAACGGCCACACUGGAACUGAGACACGGUCCAGACUCCUACGGGAGGCAGCAGUAGGGAAUCUUACGCAAUGGGCGAAAGCCUGACGGAGCAACGCCGCGUGAGUGAUGAAGGUCUUCGGAUCGUAAAACUCUGUUAUUAGGGAAGAACAUAUGUGUAAGUAACUGUGCACAUCUUGACGGUACCUAAUCAGAAAGCCACGGCUAACUACGUG